rnacentral:rRNA from 1 species
GACGAACGCUGGCGGCGUGCUUAACACAUGCAAGUCGAACGGAAAGGCCCCUUUGGGGGUACUCGAGUGGCGAACGGGUGAGUAACACGUGAGUAACCUGCCCUUGACUUCGGGAUAACUUCAGGAAACUGGGGCUAAUACCGGAUAGGAAUCCUUGCUGCCUGGUGGGGGUUGGAAAGCUUCGGCGGUUUUGGAUGGACUCGCGGCUUAUCAGCUUGUUGGUGGGGUAGUGGCUUACCAAGGCUUUGACGGGUAGCCGGCCUGAGAGGGCGACCGGCCACAUUGGGACUGAGAUACGGCCCAGACUCCUAAGGGAGGCAGCAGGGGGGAAUAUUGCACAAUGGGCGGAAGCCUGAUGCAGCAACGCCGCGUGCGGGAUGACGGCCUUCGGGUUGUAAACCGCUUUCAGCAGGGGCGAAGCUUGUGGUGACGGUACCUGCAGAAGAAGCACCGGCUAACUACGUG